rnacentral:snRNA from 1 species
UUGCUUCUCUGCCUUUUGGCUAAGAUUAGUGUAGGAUCUGUUCCUAUCAGCUCAAAAU